GGGAACCCUGACGGAGCAACGCCGCGUGCGGGAGGACGGCCUGUGGGUUGUAAACCGCCUUUCUCAGGGAAGAAGUUCUGACGGUACCUGAGGAAUCAGCAUCGGCUAACUCCGUGCCAGCAGCCGCGGUAAUACGGAGGAUGCAAGCGUUAUCCGGAAUUAUUGGGCGUAAAGCGUCCGUAGGCGGUGAGUUAAGUCUGCUGUCAAAGCCUGCAGCUCAACUGUGGAGUGGCAGUGGAAACUGAUUGACUAGAGUGCGAUAGGGGUAGAGGGAAUUCCCAGUGUAGCGGUGAAAUGCGUAGAUAUUGGGAAGAACACCAGUGGCGAAGGCGCUCUACUGGGUCGCAACUGACGCUGAGGGACGAAAGCUAGGGGAGCG
rnacentral:rRNA from 1 species